UACGGAGGGAGCUAGCGUUGUUCGGAAUUACUGGGCGUAAAGCGCGCGUAGGCGGCUUUGUAAGUUAGAGGUGAAAGCCCGGGGCUCAACCCCGGAAUUGCCUUUAAGACUGCAUCGCUUGAAUCCGGGAGAGGUGAGUGGAAUUCCUAGUGUAGAGGUGAAAUUCGUAGAUAUUGGGAAGAACACCGGUGGCGAAGGCGGCGACCUGGUCCGAUACUGACGCUGAGGCACGAAAGCGUGGGGAGCAAACAGG
rnacentral:rRNA from 1 species